GAAUAUCUCCAGGGAUGGUGACUCCACCACCUCUCUGGCAGCCUGUUCCAGUAAACAUUACUGAGUACAUCAUUUUGUAGUUUCUUAUGGUUUUGCUGGCCACGCCUAAGCUGUUGUCCUCUUUGAGUUAUGCACUUUUGUGCUUAUGUGACUCUAUCAGAGGAGAAACACUUGGUUGGUAGUAUGUGAAAAUAUAGUUACAAAUACUCAACCAUUGGAAAAGUUGAACAGAGCUCAUGGGUGAUAUUGUUGUAUAAAAAGAAUCCCACGAGGCUUUCCUUGGCUGUUUGCCUGUUCAUAGAAAUUAUUACAUAUAUAUGAUAUAGACAUCCAUAAGUACCGAUGAAUAAGAGGGCAAUUAAAAUUAUAAAAUAAUUUACAUUAAGUUACAUAAAUGAAUAUUGUUGCAAAAAAGAAGUGAAAAGACUCUUCAUUCUUUUUUCCUGUAAUUCACUUCAGGUUCUAUAAAGAUCCUGAAGGAGAAAAUGCCUUCUUUUGUUUUGCUAAUACCAGUAUGGCCUUUUUGUGAGGGUUUUACAAAGCUGAAGGAAUGACUUCAGUGUAUUGUAAUCCCCUUUUUGUUUCAGAGUGUAUAUCCCAGAUUUUCUGUUCUUUAAGUUUCCAGUAAGACUCUUGGUUUGUUUUCAAAGGAAAUGUCCAUAAACCAUUUGAAAACAACAUAAUUAAGGGCAGUGCUGCCUGUAACAUCUCUUACAUGCAAGCCCAGCUGUUCUGUUAGUUUUGCUUGUUAUCAUCCAUCACCAUAUGAUAAUAGAAUAAUUCUGGAGGUUGCUUAAUUAAUUGAAGUUCUUUUUUUUUGUUGCUUUUCUAAGGUCCCUGUUUGUAAUUGCAAUGAAGCAAUAAUAGAAUACAUCUUUUAUGGUCUUAAUGUUGUAGACUUUUCUUUGCCACACAUGAUUAAAAUUCAUGAGGUAGUGGUUUAGGAGAUACAUUAGAAGAAGGUUUCUGUGCAGAAAUGUUUAUACUGCAACAUAAUUAAAUAAAACAACAAGUCUUUAAAGUUAACUGUUGUACUUCAUUUGGCCAUUUAACAAUAACUUUCAAAUAGAACUGUGGAUUGCUGAGAGCAGCCUGAUUUUAAAACAAAAGCAUGCCUUUGGAAACAGAUACCAAAUAGCUGUAAUUGCAGUCACAGAUUGGGUUGGGUUGGAGGGGACCUCGAAGACCAUCCAGUUCCAACCCCUACUAUGGGCAGAGACACCUCCCACUUCACUGGGUUGCACAAAACUGCCAGUGUUCAAAAUUGCUUCCCUUCUAGGGAAGGAGCUUCAAUAAGAAGAAUAAUUUUUUUCUUUAAUAAGCAAUUAUAAAUCUAUGGAAGUGUCAUUCUUAACCUGCCAUGUUUGUUAAAAAUGUACUAUGUCCUCUAUGAACUGCGGUGAUUUUCCCAAAUGUGAAAGUAUUUUCCCUAAAAUAAUGAAAAAUGUGGUAGAGUAAAAUAUAAUGAAUACAACAAAAUUAUGUGGAUCUUGCCUGUGUUCUUAGGAAAUGUAUUUACUCGUUUAACAUUGUGGCAGAUCAUGUGGUUAAUGAUGAAGAACCACGCAGAAAUGAGUCAUCAGCAGUUGAGUGCAACAUCACAACAUUUCACUUUACUUUAGAUGUGGUGAGGCUUCAUUAACCUUCUGAAUGGUCAUCUGCUUGAUGUGGCUGGUUCCUAAGUUUCACAAGUUUCCAGGACAAAAAAGUGAGUUGUCUAGUCUGAGGAAUAUCUAUGUUGAUAACUACAUAGCAGAACAGAAAGGAUUUUCUUUGCUACAAAAGCAUUAUCCUUAAAGCAAUGAGAGCUAUACAGCUUUGAAACUAACAAGAGAUGGGAGACUCAUCUUUCUGGUAUCAUCUCUCAUUUUCUGAGUGCCUGGGCAGUGUCUCACCUCUGUAUCCUAUUGCAUGUGGCAACAGUGAGCCCUCCUAGCUCAGGGCAGAGAUGGACGCUUAUCAGGUCUCUGAUUAUGUGCUCCCCUUGGAAGUGCUAUUUCCUGCCUCUUUUUCACGGGAAGAAUCCCAGAAGAAUGAGAGUAAUUUAAAAUAGCUGCUCUUAAAAAUAGUAUUUCUGUAUCCAAUAGCUUUUACUGAGCUGGGUAGUCACCUGGAAGGCAGUUUAGUCAGCUGCCUUCAGGAAUUUAUCACGAGUGUAUUUUAAUGUCAGUUUUUAUGUUGUAUAUUCCAAGGGCCUGUGGUAAAUAAAGCAAGUCUUGUUUUAGCGUGCAUAUUUUAGCUGAGCAAAACUUCAAACCAUCUAGCUGUCAAAUGUCAAAAAGCCUCCGUUCUGUACAUGUGAAAAGCUUGUAGGAGAAGGAGGAGGAGGAAUGAAAGUAACCAACUUGGUAAAUGAUUUUAAAAUGCUGCUAGGACAGAUGAACAUCUCACCCAGCCUGUCACAGUCCAGGGCAGAGACUGGCUUGGUGCUGCUGUUUGAAGCUGUGUGGUGGGUGGAUGGGAGAGAUGGGGAUACUGCUGUAGGCAACCUGCCACACUAGUGGAUCUUGCCUGCUAUUCCUUAUUUUCUUCUCUGUGAUCUCCUGACCAUUCCCAGGAGCAGUGAAUAUCCCAGGAGGUCUCCCACCUUCCCUUCAUCACCCCUUCCUUCCUUGGAGCUGCUGGGCUGAGGUUCAGCUGGCCCUUCAAAAUACAGGGAAAAUACAGAGCACCCCACAGAGUUCAGGAAAUACCGUAUAUAUGAUAGUCAAAGGACAAGUGCGAUUCUUCUGUAUGCCAGUCUGUGUUAGCAGCUCUCUGAAUUUUACAGCAGAAGGAGUUGCAUGAACAGUUCACAGUACAUAACAUACCCUUCACCACACACCAAAGCAAGCUGAUAUCUCCAUUAGCCCCAGAUAAGUGGUUCUUGGACAGUAGCUACUGUUUGUUCAACACUGAGAUUGAAAUUAGAUUAGUGUUAUUGCUCCUGAAAGUCUCUAAUGUUCUCAUAUUUGGUUUUUUUUUUUCCUUUCACUUUCUUCUUCAGUGUAGUCAAGUGAAGUUUUUACUUAUCAGAGUGAAGACGAAAGCCAAAAGAAAGUCAGGUAUGAGGUACAAUAGUUGCAAAGGCAUGUUGCUGUGAUGGAAUAGAAUGCUAAAAACUUUUGAAAGAAUUAAUAGUGCAUCUUCCUUGUAGGAGAAAUCUAUGCUUGGAAAUACCUUUUAUCUUCCCGCGGAGCUCCGUCUUAAUUAUUUCUGAAGAGUAAUAGUUUUAAAUUGAUCCAGGAGAACUUCUCUAAUGAUAUAAUCAAACUUGCAUCUGUACUCUGUGCUUCGUGGCUGAACUAAUUUAAAUGCUAAAUAGAAAUCAAAGAAGUGACCAUUAUGCAUACAAAGGAAUGAGUAGUUUUAAUCUUAUUUGUGUUGUGGGUUUUUGGAGCUAUUGAUUAAAAUGACCAACAGUCUAUAUUUGAUUCAGAGCAAAAUGCCAUCUUAUGACACACAUCACAAGUCAGAUUCUUGCUGUAAUUUCUAACCUCAAUUUUAAAUACUGUCAGCAUCAUCUAGAAUUAGAAAAAAGAGCAACUCAUCACCAUGCCAAUUGAACAAAAAAAUGCUGCAUGAUUUAAAUACCUAUAGCUGCAUCAUUUACCCAGUUUUAUGCUUUCAUUUUGCUAAGCAUGAGGUUGAUGAUUAAAUUGAUGCGUAAUUAUUAGCAACACAGAGACUGUUGUCACAUCGCAUGGUUUUCUGACCAGGUGCAGGCUUCUCAGAUUCAGUCGGAGCCUGUCUGUCAGUUUCCUGAACAAUCCAGCAAAAUAAGUGACUGAUUUCUUGUUAUCAUCACAGAAGCAGUUUUCAGCAGAGUGUCACAGUAAACCUCCUUUUCUGAAUAGUGUAAUGAACAUUCUGGUGUUUGCAAAAGCAUUUUUUUUUUAUAUAUAUACACAUGUAUAUAGUCAGAAUGUAAAAGCAUUAACAGUCUGAUCCUGGUAUCUGUCCCUCCAGCUCCUUAUCUGCAUCCUUUCAUUAAUAUCUGUCUAUUUUACUCAAAUGUCAAAGUCAAUCAAGCACUCUGUGGUCAUGCAAGCAGAACAGAAGCAUGGCCUGCUAAAUUAACCCAGUGUGAGGAGGACUUUCAAAGAUUAAAUUUCUUUGCUCUGCUCCUCCAAGAAUACACUUUCAAGUUUAGAUGGCUGGUUCAGUAAGUAUGCACCCACAUCUUGAGCUUAAGCAGGACAAUGCAGGCUGUAAACUGAAAGAGCAACCUUUUGCAUCAGCUAAAUCAGACUAAAUAGAUAUAUAGGGUAAAUAUCCAAUCUACAAAUAAAGAUAGUUCAGCAGGAAGAGAAACAUUUUGUUGGUAUGCUUUUAAAGUAUUAUUCUGCAAGAUAAAAAAUAAGCUGGAGAAAGCAACCGUAAACUGUGUUUUAUUCUUUCACUAUAUUGCAUUGUAAAUUUGUUAGUGGAAUCGACAUUUCUACCUCUCCUUGAAAAUAUUCAUCUGCUGUACCGGCAUUGGAGCUGGAUUGAUGUGGAUGCUUUCAAGUGCAUCCUAUUUCUCCGUGAAAUAGAAACAACUAACCAGAAACUCAUACACAACAAUUAUACCCUAACAAGCCUGUUUAUUCUUCGUCAUCAAAGAAUAUCGUCAUUUGUUCAAAAUAUUGUUAUUCUCUGUUAUUCACAAUUUUACAAAAACAACAGUAAAUUACCCUGAGUGUUUUAAAAAUAGGUCAUAAAAGCAGUCUGAUUUCACUUAAUGCAUAGAUACGACAGUAUCACAGUGCGGGCUGCUUUCUCCAUCAUUGGAGGGAAGCGCUGGCGGAGAUGACUAAGACCCUACACAAAAGAAAAGUCCUACGAGUGUUGGGGGAAAACAUGUUUGUACUGAAAAAGAUGGACUGAUAAGUAAAGGCAAAUUGAAAACAGAGAAGGAAAAAGUUAAAAAUUAUAUAUUUAGGAAAUGGAUUAAUCUUUUAUUAUCAGUGACAGAUUCUAACAGAGAUAAUUUUAAAAUCCACAUUGAUGGUUCAUCCUUAAUUUUUACUCAAAUAAGUGUCACGUUGCUAGUUUUGUGAUAUUGUGUUGGCAGAAUAAUCUUUUAACAAUCAGUACCAUUGGAAGUGAAUAUUCAAAUUUAAAUGAGGAUUCCUUUCCUGAUAACAAUAGGAAGCCUUUCCGGUAAGAGUGGAUUUGCAAAGCCAUAGCCAUUUGUGAGUCCCCACCUGCUUUGCAAGUCAUGGGAAUAGAACUUGCACCUGGAACUGGAGCUUAGGAAUAGGUUGUGUGUAGGAAUUGCCAUUUAAAAAGAAAUGGUUUUAGCACCUUGCUAAGGGGAAUAUAUGCUAGCAACAAUUUUUACUUCAACUCAUCAGCACCAAAAAGAUAAAAGGGUAUGGAUAAAAGGGAGACUUGGGGUGAAAUGUAAACCCCAGGCUACUGCCCAUUUAACGGGGCCAUCCCGUCUCUGAGAAACAGUUGAAUCUGGCCUUGGGCCAUAGUUCAUUCUUAUUAGAGCCAAUAAUUUCCAUCAUUAACACAGUGGCUUCUCCUGGCCUACAGUGAGAAGAUAGGCUCUGAAGAAACUUAAACAUGUAAAAAUCCCUGGCAGAUAUUGCCUUGGUCAUAGGUGGCUCAACAUGCCUCAACAAAAACGGUGAAAGGGAGAGAAGUAUCAUUUUAUUGGCAUAGCAACGCAAGUGGUCCAGUUUUCUUAAAUUUUUCCUGAAGUUCAGAGAUGGCAACCUCAAGGCUAAUUUUAGCUGAAGUCAACUUAUUUUCUCUUGGUCAGAUGAAAGUUCUGUGAAAUUCAAGAAGGCAGCGACUGCACCUUAAAAGGGUACCUCUUCUUCUACUUUCUCUGGGCAAGGAUUGGAGAAACCAGCCUUCAGUAAGCCCAGAUACUGUCACUCUACCUCCACAGAAGAUUUCUCAGUUGAAGUGAGAAGCUCAUGGUAUCACCACGUUCCUCUCUCCUAUUGACACUGGGCAGCUAGGUAGAAGGUGAAGACUUCUGGCUGAGAACACAUGGGAACCUGACUCUGCCCUAGCAGACAUUCUACCAGGAAACUGCUGUUACUGCUCAGCACAAAGAGCAGAAGUUCUAGUGCCUUUCUACGGAAGAAUCAGUUUGGAUGUCAAGAGAAAGCAGAUUUUCAGGCACAGAUCCUCACUUCUUGAGCCAUCAGGAUUGAAAAACAAGUCACUGGGGCCCUGGAAAGCACAGUUUUUCCUUUCCCACACACGAGCUGCUUUGUCUGGUGGUUGGAGGGAAGCAGCACCUGUGCUUCCACACUCUCCAGGAAGGACGACCUGGCUGUGCUGUCAGACAAGCUCCAGAGAUCUUGCUUGGACUGAAGGGUUUGGCACUCCAGCCAUGUGAGUGCCAUUAAAUAAGCAGGUAGGGAAGAGGUAAGACUGGUGCAGAAGGCUCCCAGUGAAACACACUGAUUAGAGUGAAACUCCAGUGUUUGUUCCCUUUUCUUGUGCUGAGGCUUUGGCCAUACGUGCAUUUGUGUGGACGUUUCUGAAACACUUCAUCUCUUUUCUUUAUUUGAGCUGAACUUAAAGGCACACUGGGCUACCAUCCAGCAGACAGCUCAUGAACACUCAUUGGAAAUAUGUUCUGGUAUUGUUAUAUGCAAACACAUCUGCCCUGCAGAUACUGUUGAGCAAAAGGAGGAGUUUGCAGGCUGCAAGUUUCAACCUUGGAGCCCAAUUGUUGUCAUUAAGAAUUUGUUUUGUCCAGGGAAGAGAGCAUUCAGGGAACUUGCGGUGCCUGUAUAGCCUUCCACUCUAUGGGCCUCCCUAAGAGAACAUGGAGACUGGUUGGGCCAGGGCUGGGAGCAAUGUAAAAAACCUGAACCCACCGUCCCUCCUGUUAAGCCCAUCAGGAAGCACUGAGGGUACUUUAGAGGUGACACUCAGCAUCUAAAGGUGUGAGAGCAAGUAGGUUCCUGCAGCACCAAGACCACAGCCCUGCCUUCACCCGUCCUGCAGGUAGAUGGCAGGAUGCAGUCACUCAUGCACCACAGGUCGUAUUGAAACGCCACAGAACUUUGUUGGAUAAACAUUACUAUUAUGUAAACAGCUCUCCGUCCUGAGAGAGGAGAUGUUUUGCAAGCAUAUCUGUUUUCUGAGCUAUUUCUUAACUAUGUAGGUGUCUGAGCUAUGAGGAGGAAAAUAAAUCAGAGAAUUUGGGCAGAUGCACAUGCACCUCUAUAACUGGCGGUGGUUUUAAGAUGUUAAUGAAGUGAUGCUUGUUUUUUAUUCAGUGAAGACCUGUUUUUUUGUGUUUUUGCUAUAUAAAACAAAACACAACAUGGGAGAAAAUGUAUUCAAUUACUCCUCACUCUGCCUUAAUAUGAAAUUGCUUAGCGUUGUCACUAAUAAACCUAGAAAGGAAGAAGGAAAGUACAGAUUGCUCUGUACAAGAUACAAUUUUUUGUGUGUGUGCAUUAUAUUAAUGAUCUCUGCCCAAUUUUGUAAUAACAAGGCAAAUAAGAAAAAAGCCUGAGUUGAAAACCCUGGCUUAUAGUCAAUGAUUACAGAUGGGUAAUGCUUCAUUGUAGGGAUUUUUGCAGUCAUUAUGGAUGUAAGAGUCUUGUUUAAAUAUUUGAAUAUAGUUUCCCAGAAUCAGUUAGGUACCUCACUGUAAUGACUCUGCUGAUGGAGCUGUCUGUGCACUCGCUGCCCUGUUUUUUGAGAAUAUGGACUCUGAAAUCUAUUGUAUUAGCUUGUCAUCUGCCUUGGUGCAGCACUGCUUUCAGCCAUGGGUGGAUAAUGAGAUCCCAGGAUGGCAUCAAUAUGGGAGAGCUCUGUAGAGCUAGAGAAGCAGAAGGUGUUGGAUACCUCCCCUCCAAAAAAGACACUUUCUGAACCAAACCAGACUCUGAAAGCACACAGAGGAUGAGGCUAACCAGAGGCGUCCUCCUGCCCACAAGCAUUUCACACUAUGCCACAUGACUUUUUCCAGCUUCAAUCACCUACUUCUUCCACGGAGAGACUGCAGCUUUAUGCACUGCUCCUUAGCCUUCCAUUUAGCAGGACACCUGAUGUUUGUGACUUACUCAAGGUGACAUCCUUCCUCAAAUGUGAGGAAGAAGGUUUCACUAACCCGCACUGAACUGAGACUGGGAGAUUUCUGUUCUUCACAAAGAGAAAAAAAGAAAUUCCCUUACUUGUUUUGCAUUCAUAUUUUCUAUGACUUAACGCAGAGAGUUUUAUAGAUGCUUUUAGUGUUGAAAAGGAUUAAUUAAAAAAAUCUCCAAAGUUUGAAUAGAAAAUAAUUGUGACUGAGGACUAAGUAUAAUCUGAGAACCCAAUAAACUAAACCACUUCAAUCCCUGGGCACUCAGAGCAUUACAGACCUGUCCACACUAUGAAGGAGCUGAACCAUACCUUUGAAUUUCUAGGUAGUGCUGUGGAAAUUGAUCACCACCUUAAAUAUCAUAGCCUUUCUUGUCCCAGCCUUCAGCAUUUAGGAGAUAGUACUAUUAGUCAAAAGAUAAUUAUUCAUUAAUUGAUUUUGUACAAUGCUUAGCUGGGAGGUAAUUGAUAUACUUGAUUAGAGUAGAAAAAAAAUGCAGUUUCUAUCUACCAAAUGCAGAAAUACUAAAGAAAAAAACUAAUUUCUUGAUGUUUUUCAUUAAGGAUAAAGAAAGAAAAGAUGCCAAGAUCAAUCCUAAGAGUUCUAAGGAAUAAACCUGCGCACCAAAGGGGAUCACAGUACCUCACACACCAGCAAAAAUUUUAUGAUGUGUUAAAGAAUGUAUGUAUAAGCCUGCACUCAGGUGAUGUGCAAGCCUAGGCAUCCAGCAGAUUUAACAUGACUAAAAUUGUCUUUGAAUUUAUAUAAUUGAUAAAGACUAUUUGAUUUUGUCCUGAGCUCUUAUUGUAUGUUUACAUCUUUCUGUAUUUCUGCUUGUAUCUAAGCGUUUGCAAAACCAAGCUUCCCAGAUCAAAGCUGGAAAAAGUCAUGUGCAGUGCUUCUGGGUGUUACAUGCUUCUGGGCUGGAAGAUGCCUCUGAUCAUCUUCUGUAUGUAUCUGGAGUGUGGUACUGAUCAGGAAAUGUCCUUUUUUGGGGGUAUCCAUCACCUACUUGAAUCACAUUCCUCCUGCUGCACGCCAGCUCAGUGAUUAUUUUGCUCACAGCAGCCAUCCCAAUGAGCACUGCUGUGGCAAAGGGAGGGGAGGUUUUCCCUGUGGUGGGGCUGUAAAAAAAAUCAUCAACCAAAGCCAAAAGAAAGAAUUUACAAGUGUUACUGCAUUGGGCCCGUGCCCCGAAGCCUUUAGCACAAAAGUCAAAAAACAUCUGCAUAUUGACUGAAAAGGCCCAUACCUGCAAUGUACCUGGAAGUGGCAAAAAUUUCCAGAUGUUCCCCAUAAAACUCUUCAGUUGGUGGGUUCUAAUCUGUGUGACUUCCUGCAUGACAAAACCAAAAGGAGAUAUGCAUGUGAGAAGUACGCAGGCAAUUUGCCGUCUGGGUUGAAUUCAUCUUUUGUGCAGUUCAGCAACAUUUCUCUGUUGGAUUUGGACUCUCAGCUUUUACAGAAAAAUCUGGAUUGAGUUGAACUUGCAUGAACCAAGCCAAAUCUGUAAUUACAAGGUCUGGCAAGGAAUGUGUCUCUUUCCUGCUUAUUUUGUAUUUGCCAUUGUUAACAGAAGUGAUUGCCGCUGCUAUUCUCACGCCAGUCUUGAAUCUAAGGAGAAUUUAGAGAGAUGAGGAACUUCAUCUGAAAGACUGAAAACAUAGGGCUCAAAUUAAAACUCUUUGCAAGCAAAGACAUGGUUUUUAACUAUAGCAAUGCAGGAAACAGUAAGUGGCAGAUAUUUUCCUCCAUGAAAUGUGACAGGUUGGAAUAUCACCUAUCGUUUUGUGAGAGAAAUUGGUACAUUUAGAUUAAAUCUGGAAUUAUAUGCCACACAACACAGACUUAGAUCUGACUUCUCCUUUUAUUACUGUUUCUAUCAAGAAUUACUCCUCUUACUGAUUUUUGUUUCUCCUCCCUUGACUCUUGUAUCCAUACCCUUUCUACAAACAUCACUCUAUAUUUUUAAGUGCACAUCUCUUUUGAAAAUAGAUAUAAGAAGUGCUUCAGUAAGUUAUGGAAGGUUUUUUUGUUUUUUCCUCUUUGCUUAUCUACUGCAUAUUAUUCUCACUCUGCUAACAGUGUUCCCCCUUCCUCCUAUAUCUGUGCUACAGGAGUGGUAGCAGUAAGGGCAGAGGAAAGAAGGAGUAGCACCCACAGUUCAUUGUUCUUAUAAGGGAAUAUGUGAGGGUGAGUGCCCCAUUGUAGCAUCACUUUCCAAGAAUGAGUAAAAACAUCUUGAGGCCUUUGGAUCCCUUAAAAACAGAAAUCACUGAACCUCUCUCUGCAGCUGUAUUCCUUUCCCCAGUGUGCUCCACCAGCUUGUUGGGAUUACAGAUCACUGGUCUCCAGCAGCUCAUAGCUUUCAUAGCCCACCACAGUACACUAACAGGAGCUAUCUGCUUCUCUUCCCUUCUGUUAGAUGUAAAACCUUCUGCUGACGUUGCACUGGGCACUCCAGCCCAGCAAGCCUUAGCAUUAAUGUUACUGAGCCUGGUGGCAAUGCUUGCCCCUCUGAUUUCCUUUUUUAGGUUCUCUGCAGACUCACAGAGACAUUCUGAUGCCAAUUAUACCCCAUAAAUAAGUAGUAAGGACUGAAAUAAGUCCUACAGUUGCACGUUCUGACCUUUCUUGUAUCACAGCUUGCAGGGCUAUCCAAAGUGGAUUUGGUUUUGAUCUACAGUACUGUUUUAGAACAAUGUUCAGUCUUUGUUCAAAAAUCACCAUUGCUAAAAAUUGUGCUGAAAGGACUGUUUUCUAGCAAAAACAGAUUUUACAUCUCAUUUCUAUUGUAACUGUCUUCAGCCUUAGAUUUCACUUACUUGCUUUUCAUUACCUUCUGAAUCAAGUAACAGGUUAUCAAAGUUAUAUUCCCUUGCAGGUACUUACAAAAUCAUCAAAUUACCUUUUAACCUUUAUUCCAACUAAAUAGAUUUUCUGCAGUGUUAUUAACAAAUGCUUCCUCUAGUUCUUUAAUCUUUCUCAGCUCUGCCUCAGUCCCUCUGUUUAUCAGUGUCCUUUCCAGAUCAUGAUAUUCCAGACUUGGCUACAUCAAUGUUCAGUGCAAAAUUUGGACCAACUCUUCAUCCUUUUAGGGGAUCUGAGGUUCCUUUUUUGGCCAUGGAACUGAACUGAGAGUUCCCAUGUCUUCCUAGGAGCAAUCUUCAUGCUUGGAUGAGAUCUCGUAUUUUUAAGGGACUCUGUUUCUCCAAACUGACUGCACUGAGAUGCCCCCCUUCCUUCAUUUCUAGACAUAGGACUACUAGCUGGUCUCAGUACCAUAUUUUUAGUUCUGCUCACCUUGCCAUGAGUGUUUGCUUUUAAGUUUUGAGGUUGGAAUGAGAUCUUUAAGGUUCCUUCCAACCUAGACCAUUCUGUGAUUCUGUGUUUCCUGUUUUAUGUGCCUUCCUUCUGGCCUAUGUAUAUGUAGGAGAAAGUAUGUGUGCAUUUUUUUGAUGUGCGAUGACAUACAUCAGCUGUGAUUCAUCAUAAAGCACCAUAAAUCCCUCUGCAUUGGUCAUCUAUCAUCUCAGCUACAUAAUUCUCACCAAGACGUCGUGCUAUUUACAUUUCUCAUCAAUUACAACAUUUUGUUUCCUUUCACAUCUCAGGCAAAUGUUAACUGACUGUAGGAUGAAGAGAGGAUCCCCACUGAACCUCACUAAGACCACAUAUCUUUAGAGUGAUGUUCUGGAGUGUAGUUGCUUGCCAUUUUAAAUCCAUUUAAUGUUUUCAAUGUUGAUUCAUAACAUUCUUAAUUAAUGGUUUUUUUUGCAUUGUAUGGUACUGACUGCAUUACAAGUCUUGUAAAAGCCCAAAUAUAGCAAACCUGCUACCUUUAUCAGCCAAUUUGUAAUCUCAUCAAAGAAGGAUAUCAAGUGACUUUGACAGGAUCGAUUUGCCAAAAACCCUGUUGAGUGACAACAAUUACGCUGCCUUCCUUUUAUUCCCUAUUAAUUGAGUCCCAUAUCAGCCAUUCCUUUAUUUUGCCUGGGACUGAUGUUAGUCAGUCUGACAAAACUUGUAAUUACCUGAGAUGUAUCAUUUAUUCUCUAAUUUACUUUUUUUAGAAUACUAGCAUCGCAUUACUUUCACUCAUCUUCUAGAACUUCUUUCGUAUUAAAAAAGUUAUUGAGAAGUCAACACCAGUGGAGGAGUUUUCAUGUAACUCCUUUUAAACUCUCGUAUGCUAGUUUUUGGGACUACUGGUGAUAAAUAUGCCAAAAUCAAUAGCUCUUUUUUGACAUCCUUCUGAUGCACUGUUGGAGUGAAAAUUGUUCCAUGAUUUUCUUGCAUCACCUGAUCUUCGGCAGUUAUUUACUGAAGUUAUAUACAGCAGUUAUUUAUUGAACACCUUUUGCUUUUCUGGAUUAUUUUUGGCAAUUUAAUAAUUUUCAGUUCCAGUGUUAGAAUUCCUCUUGCUCCCAUGAAGCUCAGAGUGUCUUUCUGACUAUUGUUAGCCCAAUUUAGCAUAAAUUUUCAUCCUUUUUCAUCACCAGAUUUCUUGUGUUAAAACUCCUUACUUAUAGUAUACAUUCAAAUGUGCAUAAUCACUUGUUUUCUAUCUAUGGCUUUCUCUUUUCUUCUGUGUGAUUGUUCUUUUCUUUCUAAAUUUUAAUUGUGACUUUUACUUUUUGUAAUAAGUAAAAAUUGAUUUUUAGCUGGUGUGAUCUUGAACAUCUCCAAGUGAUCAUUCUCAUUUUGUCCACCGAUCUUUUUAUACCCAGUGAUUUGGACUCAGGAGGCCUAACAAUUUGCUUAAAAAGUAAUCCCAAUGAAUAAGUGAAACAAUAAGGGAAAUAAAAGCCAAAACUUCUAUCAAUGGUUUCUGAGUGCUGGCUGUCGUAGAUCCUCUUGAUAAGAGUUAGCACACCUUUAUCAGCAGUGCUGAAGCCAAUUGAGAGGAAUUCUGGGAUCACUGACAGGGACAACUCCUACACUAGCCCUGCCAGAAUGGAAACCAGGUCACCCAGAAACCUGAAAUUGCAGGGGAAUGGCAGAACAACAUUCUGAUCUAGAAGGAUGAGGUGGCUCCUCACUGGAGAUGCUCUUAGCCUAGAUUUAGUCUGCUCAGUGCUCAUGCUUGCAGAGACAUGCAGCACAGUCUGAGCCUGGUGACUAAGCUGAUCUCAGGAUUAACUUUAAAUUAGCAGACCAAAAUAAAAGCAAAAGUCUUUGUGCCUCAGUGCCACGUAAACGGGAACUGAGGUGGCAAAUGGGGUAAGGUGGGAUAAGUCAUCAUGUGAGAUCUAGAGUGUGAUUCUUUAGCAGUGUGGCUGAAAGUGUUCAAAGUCCCUUGAUAGCUCCAUUUUGAUAGUAGCAGACUUUUUAGGGCCACUCAUGCUCCUCUACAGGUUGGAGCAACUGCAGUUUGGUUGUUGAAGUGAUUAAACUUUUCCUGAGUCCAGAAAAUUUUGCAUAGCGGGAAUAUGCUGAAAAUAUUCAUGUAGAUAUUUAAUAUGAUGACCAAAUUUCUAGAUCAUCCCUAAAAGCUGCACAGGACUAAAAAGCCUCCCCAGUCAGAUGGUGAUGCUACAUGGUAAUUGAGAACACUCUUUUUGUAUGGAUCCUCUUCAGUAAUUUACUGGGCUUGGCUAACUUUUAUUUGAACUUCCUACAAGGGCAGGGACCAAAUCUGAUUUUUGUAAAAUACAUUGAACUGGACAGUCAGGCUCCAAGAGACCCCCUUUUGUGAAUUUCUUGUACCACACUUCUAGUAUCCUUCUCAUUACUGAAUGUUAAGAUCCUCUGACAGCAGAAGCAUGCUGAAAGCACUGGUUUCAAACACAGUAAACAGUAGGAUUUAGGUUGCACCUGAAAAUAUAUCUGAAACUGUUUUUGAAACAUAGCUGAUAAGAGUCCUGUCCCUGAUAUGAGGUGAUCAGGUAGCCACACUGUAAUUAAAAAGGCUAUCAUGUUCUGUGACAUCGUAUUUAGAACUAUUUCCAUUAAUAAUUACAUAGCCUGAGCGGCAGAUGAAUUAGUACAUCUUUUACAGGAGCUAAUGCAGAUAAAACCUCAAGAUAAGCAAAGGUUUUCCUGGGUAUUUCCAUUUAUCUGUUUGGAAUUGGGGUGAUUUUGUUUCAUUUCUGUCCAUGUUUUGCUGUCACCUGUACUUAUAUAUAUAUAUAUAUAUGAGAAUAUAAAUUCAAUAAUAUUAUCAUCAUGACAAUGCAAAAGUAAUGACGUAUUAAUUUUGAGCUGUAAGGCCAGUAUAUUAAAAGCAGAUGUGCUAAUUCAUCAUGGCAGUAGAUCUGUCACAAUGGAAAAGCACCUCUGAGACUAAGGAGGUUACAAUAGGGACCAGUUUGAUCUAACACCUUUAAAUAAUAGAUCUUUGGAUUGUGAUUUUCUUCUACUUGGCAAAAAAAAAAGAAAAAAAUCUGGCAACUUCUGAAGAACGGGAAACCACUACUAUAUUUUGGACAAUUAAAAGCAGAAGAAAACUACAGAAGUUAUCCAAGCAAAUACCAGAAUAUCUCUGUCAGUGUUAGCGAUCAUGUCAGUUCUUAUAACCGCAGGAGUUUUGACUGCUAUGAAACAAAUAAAUUUUGGGGUAUUACACUGCACAGCUGAGAUUUUGCUUCCUGGAAACAAUGUUUUAUUUGUUCCUUUUGAACAUACUGUGGUGUGCAAAUGAUCACAGGUUUGGCAAGUCCUUUAUGGGGCAUUGUAUUUAUAAGGCCAGAAACAGAUGUACAGAUAAUUUCAGAGACACGCAUACUUUCUAUGGUUGCAAAUACUGUAGGGAUGGGUACCUUAAAAAGAAAAAUCAGGUCUUUGAGUAUCCUGGUUGUCUUUCUUUCAAAGAAUGGACACGCUGCAUAGCAAAUCCGUGUUUUGCCAGCUGCGGUUUGCAGAGCAAAGGCCAAAAGCUGCACUAACAUACACCUCCUUGAAACUCUUGAGAAUUCAAGCAAGAUUUCCCACAGCCUGGUGUCUUCCUGCAAGCCGUCCCUCAGACAUCGGCAGAGCCCUGCCCUUGCACAUGUGGCAUGGCUGGCUGCAUGCCACAUUUGGCUUCCAGCUUGCAGGCGAUCCUUCCAGCCUGCCCACGCUGAUACUUCCCAGACCUUGGCUCCUAUUCAAGUGCUAUCGCUCCAGCAAAUCCUUUUGUAUUUUCGUGCUAUGAGUGGAGGUUGGAAUAAUGCAAAGAGAGAACCAAAAGUGCUUAAGUGUGUUCCUUUUCUCAAGGGAGAGUGUACAAAAAAGGCAUUUCCGCAAUAUCUUAACCUCAGUUAUAGAUUACAAAGUGGAUAACUCCGUAUUUACCCAUGCAGUCUCUCAGCAGAUGGCAAUUAAAGGGUGAAAUUACCAACAGCACAAUGGCAGGUUGAGGGCCACCGUAUCAGCUCUCGUCCAAUUGGUUCUACUUGCAUAAAGAAUAUCACUGCUAAUUUUUGUAAAAUAAAGUAUGAUGUUGGUAAAUAACCACAUAUUGUCAAACUACAAGCAAAGGAAAAAAGCAUACAUGUGUGCUUACAUCAGGCAGAAUCCAUUUUCAGUCAUGCUUUUUGAAGAUGUGUUUUGAUGGACCUUCUGGGACUGUAGUGCCUGACACAAAUGUGUGUGAGUGGAUUAGAAGUAAACAAUAAGAAUUAAAAUAAGAAAUAAUUGAUUCUAAUACUACGAGAACUUUUUAGAAAACAUAUGUUUCUAAGAUAGAAUUUGUUACUCAUAUUCUUGUGCUUUUCAUAUCCAAAAUAAACCUGUGGUUACCAUUGCAGUUGCCAUGCUCUUACACUCCACACUGUACCAGUUAGGAAGAAAAAAAAACACAAAACCACAGAAUAAUAGAUAAGCAAUCUCUUUCCUGAUGUCAGAUUUACUGAAUUAAUGGUUGAACAUGGAAUUUAUCUGAUAGAGCUCAUCCACUAGACGUGAAUUAAAAUCUGUUACUAAGAUACAGAUAAACUGUUCAAGUCCAGAGCACCCCUAAGACUAUUUGGACACCUUUUUAGGAGGGUGUCAAGGCAUUUCCAUGUGUCCCUGCUCUGUGAGACCAUCCCAUUUUCAUGAUGCUGUCCUAAAUAUAUGACCCGUUCCUAAACCCUAUGCCUUUUCGAAUGUGGAUAUCAUGAUGUCAGUGAAGAAUGAUCUCUAACGCAGACAGCUGUGGUGGUCCUCUGUGGAAUCUAAGCCCUUAUGAUGGCUGAGGAUUCCCUGCCACCAGUGUGUGUUUUGUUAUUGGUUUCUUUGACUGUGCUUAGCUGGGUAGCCUACGAUCUCUGUGUUUUAAGAGGACAGGGAGAGAGGGGCAUCUCCCAACGGAGUCUUAGUUGUGGAGAUACUUACCUUAGGUGAAAUACUCUGCAGCCACUUGCCUUUUUCUUGUUUUGACCACAGAGUGAGUCUGGGCCACUUAAAUCAGGAGCCUACUUUUUAGAUAGUCAAAGCUAGUAAAUCCCAUCGUGUAUUACCAUUGAGCUCAUCACUAUACCACCCCAUCUCCAUGUUUAGAUCCCCUUUUAAAAGUGCUGUAGCUUUAGUGCCAGAGAUUUCCUGCGCUGCAUGCCUUGGUGAGUGAUAAAGCAUCCAGCAUACAAAAUUCUGAAGCCAUCCGGGAUAAAGUUUACUCUCAGCCGUGUCACUGUUUCAGGACAGGAAGCAAAAGUGACUCUGACUGUGCUUGGGCUGUUAAUCUGCUGGGAGAUUUAUUUAUUUUUAUUUUUAUUUUUGGUCUGUAUAAUAUCCACAUUUAAGCAUAAAGAAGUUUUUCAGCUCCAGUGCCUCGAAUGUAGAUGAAUUCAUUGAUGUGCACGUAUCAGUAAGUGGUAAUACUCUAUAAAAGAACACACAUAGGAGUGUUUUUCAGAAGCCUUUGCAGAUGUCUUUUGUAUAUCUGCCUCUCUGAUUUAUUCCCUGCAGGUAAGUUGUGUGACCGUUCUCUGUAUGAGCGUGAUUGGAUUUCUUCAGUCCUUGGCACAAUCCCAUCAACCUCUGCUAUCUCUUGUGUUUCAGGCAAGUUUUUGCCAUUUGCCUUUUCAGGCAGAGUCAUCUCAGCACAAUCUCACAAUGCAGUGUGUUUGGGCUUCUCUCACUUUUUCUCCAAUUUCCCUCCUUAACAGGAUUGAAGUCAAGAUGUACUCUGAGGCAGAGAACGGUUAUUUCUAGUAAUUCUGAUUGUCUUUAAGUCAUGACACCUUUGCCAACUUCUUCAUCUUACAUGAAUGAAAAAUCACUUUCUUUCAGUGAGGAUAAAUUUCUGUUUCUGAUAUAAACACUGUUUUGAUUCAUUUGCUUUAUACCACUACCUUCUCGUAAGCUGUUCCUUCCUGACUUUGGUCUCAGCAGUAGACGUGUUCCCAGAGGUUGCAUUCUGAUCUCCAUCCCAAUAAUCUCUCUUUGUAGUUCUUUUGUCCUGAGGGAGUACGAAAGAAAAGAAGGUGCAACAAAACAAAUGUCAUUAUAGUUGCAAGUACUGCUUACAGUUCUGCUGCUUAUUUGAGUAUCAUUGCAUUCAUGUCAAAACAGAGCUUUUUACCAUAUGUCCCUGGGACAAUUGCUGAUGGCCCUCUGACCUUGUUGUGCCAUUUCAGAAGUCUCUCUGCCAGUGUUUUCAGAAAAAAAAUAUAACACCCAACAGCUUUCAUUUUAAGAUUCCACUGAAACCAGGUUUUAUUUUUCUGAUUUCUAGUCAUAUGCUGCAAUGACUGUGAGUCAAUUUUUUGCAGGGCCUUCAACCUGAACAACGUAGACUUAAAUAACAAUUUAUUCCAUCUUAGUUCUGCAGCUUACAGUCCAGUGGUUGUAUGGGAGCUGUUCAUGCACCGCCAGAAGUGGUCCAUGCCAAGGAGGGCUGCUAAAUUGCGAAGUUGUAGAAUGGCUUGGGUUGAAAGAAACCUUAAAGAUCAUCUAGUUUCAAUCCCCUGCUAUGGGCAGGGCUGCUGCCCACCAAAUCAGGCUGCCCAUGGCCUUGAACCUGGCCUUGAAUGCCUUGAGAGAUGGGGCACUCACAGCUUCUUUUGGGCAGCCUGUGCCAGAACCACACCACUCUCUCAGUGAAGAAUUUCCCCCUGAUGUCUAGCCUGAAUUUCUCCUCUUAGCUAAAAGCCAUUCCCCCUUCUCCUGUCACUCUCUACCCAUAUAAAAAGUUUAUUUCCCUCCUG